rnacentral:rRNA from 1 species
AUGCACAUUGCAAACGAGAUCAUCCUGCGUCUCGACAUCGCCCAGGAGAGCAAGCAAUUGUCGCACGGCGAGAUCCAGCUGCGGAAACAGCUCAAGCUACGCAUCCUCGGCCUCGCAGCGAUCAACAGAGCUCGGAAGCGGCAAGCGUGGCGCGUCACCUGGCUCCGCGCGGGCGAUGCCAAGAUGGCAUUUUUUCAGGCAAAGAUCAACUCCAGGCGUCAGAAGAACUUCAUCCAUGCCCUCUAUGCCCGUGACUCCAUUGCCACCUCCCACGGCGACAAGGAACGGAUCAUACAUGAGCACUUCAAGUCCACGCUGGGGACGAUGACGCCUCGUAAUUGCACCAUUGAUUGGGACUCCAUCCACUUGUCGACCCUGCCCGCGGCCGGCCUCGAUAACCCAUUCACCGAGGAGGAGGUUUGGGCGGCGAUCUACAAAUUGUUGGGGAACGCAGUAAUUUCAAAAAUUUGCCUACGAUCACGAAGAUCUAUCUAG